CACGUAGGGCGCAAGCGUUGUCCGGAUUUAUUGGGCGUAAAGAGCUCGUAGGCGGUUGGGUAAGUCGGGUGUGAAAACUCCAGGCUCAACUUGGAGAUGCCACCCGAUACUGCUCUGACUUGAGUUCGGUAGGGGAGUGGGGAAUUCCUGGUGUAGCGGUGAAAUGCGCAGAUAUCAGGAGGAACACCAGCGGCGAAGGCGGCGCUCUGGGCCGGUACUGACGCUGAGGAGCGAAAGCGUGGGUAGCAAACAGG
rnacentral:rRNA from 1 species